GGGGGGGGGGGGGGGGGGGGCGGGCAGGGGGGGGGCGAGCGGGAGGGGCGGGGGGGGUGGCGCGGGGGGGCGGGGCGCGUGGGGAGCGGCGCGGAGGUUCGGCAUCGCUCCCCGAAAGGGGUGCUAAUACCGGAGAAUGUCUUCGGACCACAGAUUUAUCGCCUGUGGAUGGGCCCGCGUUGGAUUAGCUAGUUGUUAGGGUAAAAGCCUACCAAGGCGACGAUCCAUAGCUGGUCUGAGAGGAUGAUCAGCCACACUGGGACUGAGACACGGCCCAGACUCCUACGGGAGGCAGCAGUGGGGAAUAUUGGACAAUGGCGAAAGCCUGAUCCAGCAAUGCCGCGUGAGUGAUGAAGGCCUUAGGGUUGUAAAGCUCUUUUACCCGGGAUGAUAAUGACAGUACCGGGAGAAUAAGCUCCGGCUAACUCCGUG
rnacentral:rRNA from 1 species